GCCAAUGUAGCUCAGGGGUAGAGCACUUCCAUGGUAAGGAAGGGGUCGGGGGUUCAAAUCCCUUCAUUGGCUCCA
rnacentral:tRNA from 3 species